rnacentral:sRNA from 1 species
UUGCUGCCCGCGUUAAGGAUUGAAACGACAUCCUUUUGCUUUUUUUUGGCAAAAGAUAUAGUGAAAAGCCUGACCCGAU